CGGGCCAUGGCGCAGUUGGCUAGCGCGCUUGCAUGGGGUGCAAGAGGCCGCGGGUUCAAGUCCCGCUGGCCCGACCA
rnacentral:tRNA from 1 species